rnacentral:lncRNA from 1 species
GAGCAGCUUCCUUUCCUUCUGGUGUGGGGCAGGAACUUCUCUGGAAUGGGGAUCUUCUGACCCACAGUCAAACAAGAAUUGGACAGAAGUCACAUCAGGGAGACCAGAGACUAGAGUAUUGCAUCAUAGAGGAAAGACACUGAUGACAAGACCUCAGGGGAGCAGUGGAACUGGAGGCCUGGGAGCUUGGGACGUGUUCUCCGGGUGAAGUUGGCUGGCCAGCUGAUGACCUACACCAGUGCCAUUCACUCCUCAUGUGUCCCCCGGGAAUUCAUAGUGUGUGUCAUCAGGUAAAAGCAACACUACUUUCAGAUGUUUUCUGAUCUCUUUGAGAUCUGGACAACACUACUGUGUACAUAUGGCCAGCAACAAAUUACACUCAAUGAAUAUUUUAGAGAGCAGCAAAG